GCGCCCGUAGCUCAAUUGGAUAGAGUACUCGGCUACGAACCGAGCGGUUGGGGGUUCGACUCCUCCCGGGCGCGCCA
rnacentral:tRNA from 2 species